rnacentral:rRNA from 1 species
UACGAAGGGGGCUAGCGUUGUUCGGAAUUACUGGGCGUAAAGCGCGCGCAGGCGGUCUUCCAAGUCAGUGGUGAAAGCCCGGAGCUCAACUCCGGAAUUGCCAUUGAAACUGUUAGACUUGAGGAUGAGAGAGGUGAGUGGAAUUCCCAGUGUAGAGGUGAAAUUCGUAGAUAUUGGGAAGAACACCGAUGGCGAAGGCAGCCAUCUGGACCGGCACUGACGCUGAGGCGCGAAAGCGUGGGGAGCAAACAGG